rnacentral:misc_RNA from 1 species
UACGGAGGGGACUAGCGUUGUUCGCAAUUACUGGGCGUAAAGCGCGCGUAGGCGGAUUAGUAAGUCAGAGGUGAAAUCCCAGGGCUCAACCUUGGAAAUGCCUUUGAUACUGCUAGUCUUGAGUUCGAGAGAGGUGAAUGGAAUUCCGGGUGUAGAGGUGAAAUUCGUAGAUAUUCGGAGGAACACCAGUGGCGAAGGCGGCUCACUGGGUCGAUACUGACGCUGAGGUGCGAAAGUGUGGGGAGCAAACAGG